UUCCCUUUCCCCAAGCAUCAUUGUCUUCUCUAAGCUUUCCUGUCUUCUCAUGAUGUGGCCAAAGUACUUUGCCUCUACUAUCCUUCCCUCCAGUGAACAGUCAGGCUGUAUUUCCUGGAGUAUGGACUGGUUGGAUCUUCUGGCGGUCCAAGGCAGUCUCAAAACUUUCCCCCAGCACCACAGUUCAAAAGCAUCUCUCUUCCUUUGCUCAGCCUUCCCUAUGGUCCAGCCCUUACAUCCAUAGGUGACUAUGGGGAAUACCAUUGCUUUAACUAUGCAGAUCUUCAUUGCCAGUGUGAUGUCUCUACUCUUCACUAUUUUAUCCAGAUUGGUCAUUGCUCUCCUCCCAACAAGUCAGCUUCUUGGAGCGGUUUACCACUGGCUGUCAUCCUUUCUGACCGGGUCAAAUAACGAACCUCAGUGGCUUCUGCUUCAAGAGGGAUUUCACUGGGCACGCUUAGUGCUGGUGAAAGGAUCGGUGACCCUGCUUUCACACCCACAGAAAGAAAGCUUUCCACCCAGAAACGCUCUUUGAGAUGAGCUUUUUCGUGGAUUAUUUACACACUGCAUCCAGAAAUGGCUUUCAUGAUUUCUAUGUGAGUUUUAUUUAAAUUGCGGAUAAGCUCCAUAUGAACAACAAUAUAUACCAAAUGGCAAAACUUGUGGAAUGUUUGAUUUUGGUUUCUUUUAAUCACUUUAAUAAGGGACACUGGUUGUAUCUGUCAGUUUUCCCAGAAAUAUAUCACAUCACUGAAAGUUCACUGCCUUAAAAAUAUAAUAAAAUUAUAAAUACA